AAGUUUGAAAUAAAUUUUAUAUUCAGUUUCGACCUGAAAUUUUAGUUAAUAAAUUAUUAACUCUAACUUA
rnacentral:tRNA from 1 species